CUGAGUUAGCUCCAAGCUCAAGUUCAUAUUCAAGAAGCAGAUUUAAGAUGCUCAAUAUUAGCCAGGCAUGGUGGCUCAAGUCUGUAA
rnacentral:sRNA from 1 species